UAGGGAAUCUUCGGCAAUGGGGGGAACCCUGACCGAGCAACGCCGCGUGAGUGAAGAAGGUUUUCGGAUCGUAAAGCUCUGUUGUUAAGGAAGAACGAGUGUGAGAAUGGAAAGUUCAUGCUGUGACGGUACUUAACCAGAAAGGGACGGCUAACUACGUGCCAGCAGCCGCGGUAAUACGUAGGUCCCGAGCGUUGUCCGGAUUUAUUGGGCGUAAAGCGAGCGCAGGCGGUCAAUUAAGUCUGAUGUGAAAGCCCCCGGCUCAACCGGGGAGGGUCAUUGGAAACUGGUUGACUUGAGUGCAGAAGAGGAGAGUGGAAUUCCAUGUGUAGCGGUGAAAUGCGUAGAUAUAUGGAGGAACACCAGUGGCGAAGGCGACUCUCUGGUCUGUAACUGACGUUGAGGCUCGAAAGCGUGGGUAGCAAACAGG
rnacentral:rRNA from 1 species